UACGAAGGGUGCAAACGUUGCUCGGAAUUAUUGGGCGUAAAGCGCACGUAGGCGGCUCUGCAAGUCGGAUGUGAAAUCCCUCGGCUUAACCGGGGAACUGCGUCUGAUACUGGACGGCUUGAGUUUGGGAGAGGGACGCGGAAUUCCAGGUGUAGCGGUGAAAUGCGUAGAUAUCUGGAGGAAUACCGGUGGCGAAGGCGGCAUCCUGGACCGGCAUUGACGCUGAUGAGCGAAAGCUAGGGGAGCAAACGGG
rnacentral:rRNA from 1 species